GUGGAUAGGCAAUUAAUUUCAUGGAGAGUAGGAGGUGUGGGUUCAGCUGCUGCUUUUUUUUUUUUUUCAGUGAGGCAUUAUCUGAAUGAUGCUCAUUCUCUCUUGAGUCUGGACUUCGUGCAACAAGCAGCAACUGGAUAUUAUUUUAAAAUAAGCAUAAGCCACCCAAAGAUACUGAUCUGGGUCCUUCUUUUGGAAGAAGAGUUGAUUGAGAAGUGCCUCUUGGUUAAGGAUUAACCACAGGGAAAAAUCCAGCAGAAACAGAAGAACUGUGGGUUUCUUACCCCAGCCCUCAAGGAAGCUAUGCCGUGAAAGGGGUACUGAUACACUGACAUACAGCAAGUUGGACGGGGCAUCAGUUCUUCAUUUGUGGAGUGGAGAAAAGAAGAGGAAAUCUCUCAUUUGGGGCAUUUGAAGGAUGGCUUCCCUGUUUCAUCAGCUUCAGAUCCUGGUCUGGAAAAAUUGGCUAGGUGUAAAAAGGCAGCCGCUUUGGACACUUGUCUUGAUCUUAUGGCCAGUCAUUAUUUUCAUAAUUUUGGCUAUUACUCGGACCAAAUUUCCUCCAACUGCAAAACCAACUUGUUACCUCGCACCUCGAAACCUUCCUAGUACUGGAUUCUUUCCAUUCCUGCAGACCCUACUCUGUGACACAGACUCUAAAUGCAAAGACACACCCUAUGGCCCACAAGAUCUGCUUCGUAGGAAAGGAAUUGAUGAUGCACUAUUUAAAGACAGUGAGAUUCUGAGAAAGUCAUCCAACCUGGAUAAGGACAGCAGUUUAUCAUUCCAGAGCACCCAAGUUCCAGAAAGAAGGCAUGCAUCACUAGCCACAGUAUUUCCCAGUCCAAGUUCUGAUUUGGAAAUCCCCGGAACAUAUACUUUCAAUGGCAGUCAAGUGCUCGCACGAAUUCUUGGCUUGGAAAAGAAUGAGUAGAGAAAUCAUUUUUGGCUGUUAAAGCAAAAUUCAACUUCAGAAGAUAUACGAAGAGAACUAUGUGACAGCUAUUCAGGAUACAUUGUGGAUGAUGCCUUCUCUUGGACCUUUCUAGGAAGAAAUGUUUUUAACAAAUUUUGCCUUUCUAACAUGACCCUUUUAGAGUCUUCUCUCCAAGAACUAAACAAACAGUUCUCCCAGCUAUCCAGUGACCCCAACAAUCAGAAGAUAGUGUUUCAGGAAAUAGUCAGAAUGCUGUCUUUCUUCUCACAAGUGCAAGAGCAGAAAGCUGUGUGGCAGCUUCUGUCUAGUUUUCCAAAUGUGUUUCAGAAUGACACAUCACUAAGCAAUCUAUUUGAUGUUCUUCGAAAGGCAAACAGUGUGCUGCUGGUUGUGCAGAAGGUUUAUCCACGUUUUGCAACUAACGAAGGUUUCAGAACCCUCCAGAAGUCUGUUAAACAUCUGCUGUACACUCUGGACUCCCCAGCUCAAGGUGACUCCGAUAAUAUAACGCAUGUGUGGAAUGAGGAUGAUGGACAGACCUUAUCUCCAAGCAGUCUGGCUGCACAGCUCCUAAUUCUGGAAAACUUUGAAGAUGCCCUCUUAAAUAUAUCAGCAAAUAGUCCUUAUAUUCCUUACUUGGCAUGUGUGAGAAAUGUGACUGACAGUUUGGCCAGAGGUUCACCAGAAAAUCUAAGACUCCUGCAGUCCACAAUACGAUUUAAAAAAUCUUUUCUUCGCAAUGGUUCCUAUGAAGAUUACUUUCCUCCAGUUCCUGAAGUCCUAAAAUCAAAACUGUCUCAACUUCGAAACUUGACCGAACUUCUUUGUGAAUCUGAAACUUUCAGUUUGAUAGAGAAGUCAUGCCAGCUCUCUGAUAUGAGCUUUGGGAGCCUGUGUGAAGAAAGUGAGUUUGAUCUGCAACUCCUCGAAGCGGCAGAGCUGGGCACCGAAAUAGCAGCCAGCUUACUGUACCAUGACAAUGUCAUAUCUAAAAAAGUGAGAGAUUUGCUGACUGGAGAUCCAAGCAAAAUUAAUUUAAAUAUGGAUCAGUUUCUAGAACAGGCACUGCAAAUGAAUUACUUGGAAAAUAUCACUCAGUUAAUACCGAUCAUAGAAGCCAUGCUGCAUGUCAAUAACAGUGCAGAUGCUUCUGAAAAGCCAGGUCAGUUACUAGAAAUGUUUAAAAAUGUUGAAGAGCUGAAAGAAGAUUUAAGGAGAACAACAGGAAUGUCCAACAGGACUAUUGACAAGUUGCUGGCCAUUCCCAUCCCUGAUAAUAGAGCUGAGAUUAUUUCUCAGGUGUUCUGGCUGCAUUCCUGUGAUACUAAUAUCACCACUCCCAAACUAGAAGAUGCAAUGAAAGAAUUCUGCAACCUGUCUCUUUCAGAGAGAUCCCGGCAGUCUUACCUCAUCGGACUCACCCUUCUGCACUACUUAAACAUUUACAACUUCACAUACAAGGUGUUUUUCCCGAGGAAAGAUCAAAAGCCAGUAGAAAAGAUGAUGGAGCUCUUCAUAAGACUAAAAGAGAUUCUCAAUCAGAUGGCUUCUGGCACACAUCCGCUGCUAGACAAAAUGAGAUCCCUGAAGCAAAUGCAUCUGCCCAGAAGUGUUCCAUUAACACAGGCAAUGUACAGAAGCAACCGAAUGAACACACCACAAGGAUCAUUUAGCACCAUCUCCCAAGCAUUAUGUUCUCAAGGAAUUACCACUGAAUAUUUAACUGCCAUGCUGCCCUCUUCCCAGAGGCCAAAAGGCAACCACACCAAGGAUUUUUUGACUUAUAAAUUAACUAAAGAGCAAAUUGCUUCAAAAUAUGGAAUUCCCAUAAAUUCCACACCAUUUUGCUUCUCCCUUUAUAAAGACAUCAUUAACAUGCCCGCUGGACCUGUGAUUUGGGCUUUCUUGAAACCUAUGUUGUUGGGAAGAAUUUUGUAUGCACCAUAUAACCCAGUCACAAAGGCAAUAAUGGAAAAGUCCAAUGUAACUCUGAGACAGCUGGCGGAAUUAAGAGAAAAAUCUCAAGAGUGGAUGGAUAAGUCGCCACUUUUCAUGAAUUCCUUCCAUCUGUUAAACCAGGCAAUUCCAAUGCUCCAGAAUACUCUAAGGAACCCUUUUGUGCAAGUUUUUGUAAAGUUCUCCGUGGGACUCGAUGCUGUUGAACUAUUGAAACAGAUAGAUGAACUCGAUAUUCUAAGACUGAAAUUAGAGAACAACAUUGACAUCAUCGAUCAGCUUAACACACUAUCUUCCCUGACAGUAAAUAUUUCCUCUUGUGUAUUAUAUGACCGUAUUCAGGCAGCAAAAACCAUAGAUGAAAUGGAGAGAGAGGCUAAAAGGCUCUACAAAAGCAACGAACUCUUUGGAAGUGUUAUUUUUAAGCUUCCUUCUAACAGAAGCUGGCACAGAGGCUAUGACUCUGGAAAUGUCUUUCUUCCUCCUGUCAUAAAAUAUACCAUCCGGAUGAGUCUCAAGACCGCACAGACCACAAGAAGCCUAAGAACCAAGAUUUGGGCUCCAGGGCCACACAAUUCUCCAUCACACAACCAGAUCUAUGGCAGGGCUUUUAUUUAUUUACAGGAUAGUAUUGAAAGAGCAAUCAUUGAAUUGCAAACUGGAAGGAACUCCCAGGAAAUAGCAGUCCAGGUUCAAGCAAUUCCUUAUCCCUGCUUCAUGAAAGACAAAGUUAUAAAUGAGAUGAGGUAAUGUAACCCAGUGCAACAGUAGCAUGAGGAAGCAGCUUCCUAACCAGUGUCUCUUAUUCUCUUCCAAUUGUGCUUAUGGUUGCCUGGGUUGUAUUUAUAGCUGCCUUUGUAAAAAAGCUUGUCUAUGAGAAAGACCUCCGGCUUCAUGAGUACAUGAAGAUGAUGGGUGUGAACUCCUGCAGCCAUUUCUUUGCCUGGCUUAUAGAGAGUGUUGGAUUUUUACUGGUUACCAUCGUGAUCCUCAUCAUUAUACUCAAGUUUGGCAAUAUUCUUCCUAAAACAAAUGGGUUCAUUUUGUUCCUGUAUUUUUCGGACUACAGCUUCUCGGUUAUUGCCAUGAGCUAUCUUAUCAGUGUCUUCUUCAACAACACCAACAUUGCAGCUCUGAUCGGAAGCCUCAUCUACAUCAUUGCCUUCUUUCCAUUUAUUGUUCUGGUUACAGUGGAGAAUGAGUUGAGCUAUGUAUUGAAAGUGUUCAUGAGCCUGCUGUCCCCAACAGCAUUCAGCUAUGCAAGCCAAUACAUUGCACGAUACGAAGAACAGGGCAUUGGUCUUCAGUGGGAAAAUAUGUACACCUCCCCGGUUCAGGAUGACACCACCUCAUUUGGCUGGCUGUGCUGUCUAAUCCUAGCUGACUCUUUCAUUUAUUUCCUUAUUGCUUGGUAUGUCAGGAAUGUCUUCCCAGGGACAUACGGUAUGGCAGCUCCCUGGUAUUUUCCAAUUCUUCCUUCCUAUUGGAAGGAGCGAUUUGGGUGUGCAGAGGUGAAGCCUGAGAAGAGCAAUGGCCUCAUGUUUACUAACAUCAUGAUGCAGAACACCAACCCAUCUGCCAGUCCUGAAUACAUGUUUUCCUCUAACAUCGAGCCUGAACCUAAAGAUCUCACAGUCGGGGUUGCCCUGCAUGGGGUCACAAAGAUCUAUGGCUCAAAAGUUGCUGUUGAUAACCUCAAUCUGAACUUUUAUGAAGGGCAUAUUACUUCAUUGCUGGGGCCCAAUGGAGCUGGGAAAACUACUACCAUUUCCAUGUUAACUGGGCUGUUUGGGGCCUCAGCAGGCACCAUUUUUGUAUAUGGAAAAGAUAUCAAAACAGACCUACACACGGUACGGAAGAACAUGGGAGUCUGUAUGCAGCACGACGUCUUGUUCAGUUACCUCACUACUAAGGAGCACCUUCUCCUAUAUGGUUCCAUCAAAGUUCCUCACUGGACUAAAAAGCAGCUCCACGAGGAAGUAAAAAGGACUUUAAAAGAUACUGGACUAUAUAGCCAUCGUCAUAAGAGAGUUGGAACACUGUCAGGAGGCAUGAAGAGGAAGUUAUCUAUAUCCAUAGCUCUCAUUGGUGGAUCAAGGGUAGUAAUUUUGGAUGAACCAUCUACUGGAGUUGACCCAUGUUCUCGCCGAAGUAUAUGGGAUGUUAUAUCCAAGAACAAAACUGCCAGAACAAUCAUUCUGUCAACGCACCACUUGGACGAGGCUGAAGUGCUGAGUGACCGCAUCGCCUUCCUGGAGCAGGGUGGGCUUAGGUGCUGUGGGUCCCCAUUUUACCUCAAGGAAGCCUUUGGCGAUGGGUAUCACCUCACGCUUACCAAGAAGAAGAGUCCAAAUUUAAAUGCAAAUGCAGUAUGUGACACCAUGGCCGUGACAGCAAUGAUCCAAUCACAUCUCCCCGAAGCCUACCUCAAGGAGGAUAUUGGGGGAGAGCUUGUUUAUGUACUUCCUCCAUUCAGCACCAAAGUCUCAGGGGCCUACCUGUCACUCCUACGGGCACUCGACAAUGGCAUGGGUGACCUCAACAUCGGGUGCUACGGCAUUUCAGAUACCACCGUGGAGGAGGUCUUUCUGAACUUGACCAAAGAGUCACAAAAAAAUAGUGCUAUGAGUCUUGAGCACUUAACACAAAAGAAAAUUGGGAAUUCCAAUGCCAAUGGCAUCUCAACUCCUGACGAUUUAUCUGUGAGCAGCAGCAAUUUCACAGACAGAGAUGACAAAAUCCUGACAAGAGGAGAGAGGCUGGAUGGCUUUGGACUGUUGCUGAAGAAGAUCAUGGCUAUACUCAUCAAGAGGUUCCACCACACCCGCAGGAACUGGAAAGGUCUCAUUGCUCAGGUUAUCCUCCCCAUCGUCUUUGUUACCACUGCCAUGGGCCUUGGCACACUGAGAAAUUCCAGCAACAGUUAUCCAGAGAUUCAGAUCUCCCCCUCUCUUUAUGGUACCUCCGAACAGACAGCCUUCUAUGCUAAUUAUCACCCGAGCACGGAAGCACUUGUCUCAGCAAUGUGGGACUUCCCUGGAAUUGACAACAUGUGUCUGAACACCAGUGAUCUACAGUGUUUAAACAAAGACAGUCUGGAAAAAUGGAACACCAGUGGAGAACCCAUCACUAAUUUUGGUGUUUGCUCCUGCUCAGAAAAUGUCCAGGAAUGUCCUAAAUUUAACUAUUCCCCACCGCACAGAAGAACUUACUCAUCCCAGGUAAUUUAUAACCUCACUGGGCAACGAGUGGAAAAUUAUCUUAUAUCAACUGCAAAUGAGUUUGUCCAAAAAAGAUAUGGAGGUUGGAGUUUUGGGCUGCCUUUGACAAAAGACCUUCGUUUUGAUAUAACAGGAGUCCCUGCCAAUAGAACACUUGCCAAGGUAUGGUAUGAUCCAGAAGGCUAUCACUCCCUUCCAGCUUACCUCAACAGCCUGAAUAAUUUCCUUCUGCGAGUUAACAUGUCAAAAUACGAUGCUGCCCGACAUGGCAUCAUCAUGUAUAGCCAUCCUUAUCCAGGAGUGCAAGACCAAGAACAAGCCACAAUCAGCAGUUUAAUCGAUAUUUUAGUGGCACUGUCUAUCUUGAUGGGCUACUCUGUCACCACCGCCAGCUUUGUCACCUAUGUUGUAAGGGAACAUCAAACCAAAGCCAAACAGUUGCAGCACAUUUCAGGCAUUGGCGUGACAUGCUACUGGGUAACAAACUUCAUUUAUGACAUGGUUUUCUACUUGGUGCCUGUAGCGUUUUCAAUUGGUAUCAUUGCGAUUUUCAAAUUACCUGCAUUCUACAGUGAAAACAACCUAGGCGCUGUAUCUCUCCUACUUCUCCUGUUUGGGUAUGCAACAUUUUCCUGGAUGUACUUGCUGGCUGGGCUCUUCCAUGAAACAGGAAUGGCCUUCAUCACUUACGUCUGUGUCAACUUGUUUUUUGGCAUUAAUUCCAUUGUUUCCCUGUCAGUGGUAUACUUUCUUUCCAAGGAAAAGCCUAAUGAUCCGACUUUAGAACUUAUUUCUGAAACCCUCAAGCGCAUUUUCCUGAUUUUCCCACAAUUCUGUUUUGGCUACGGUUUGAUUGAACUUUCUCAACAACAGUCGGUCCUAGACUUCUUAAAAGCAUAUGGAGUGGAAUACCCAAAUGAAACCUUUGAGAUGAAUAAACUAGGUGCAAUGUUUGUGGCUUUGGUUUCUCAGGGCACCAUGUUUUUUUCCUUGCGACUCUUAAUCAACGAAUCCCUGAUAAAGAAACUCAGGCUUUUCUUCAGAAAAUUUAAUUCUUCACAUGUAAGGGAGACAAUAGAUGAGGAUGAAGAUGUGCGGGCUGAGAGAUUAAGAGUUGAGAGUGGUGCAGCUGAAUUUGACUUGGUCCAACUUUAUUGUCUCACAAAGACCUACCAACUUAUCCACAAAAAGAUUAUAGCUGUAAACAACAUCAGCAUUGGGAUACCUGCUGGAGAGUGUUUUGGGCUUCUUGGAGUGAAUGGAGCAGGAAAGACCACUAUAUUCAAGAUGCUGACAGGAGACAUCAUUCCUUCAAGUGGAAACAUUCUGAUCAGAAAUAAGACCGGAUCUCUGGGUCACGUUGAUUCUCACAGCUCAUUAGUUGGCUACUGUCCUCAGGAAGAUGCCUUAGAUGACCUGGUAACUGUGGAAGAACAUUUGUAUUUCUAUGCCAGGGUACAUGGAAUUCCAGAAAAGGAUAUUAAAGAAACUGUUCAUAAACUCCUUAGGAGACUUCACCUGAUGCCCUUCAAGGACAGAGCUACCUCUAUGUGCAGUUAUGGCACAAAAAGAAAAUUAUCCACUGCACUGGCCUUGAUAGGGAAACCUUCCAUUCUACUGCUGGAUGAGCCGAGCUCUGGCAUGGAUCCGAAGUCGAAACGGCACCUCUGGAAGAUCAUUUCAGAAGAAGUACAGAACAAAUGUUCCGUCAUCCUCACAUCUCACAGCAUGGAAGAAUGUGAAGCUCUCUGUACCAGGUUGGCCAUUAUGGUGAAUGGAAAGUUUCAAUGUAUUGGAUCUUUGCAGCACAUAAAGAGCAGGUUUGGACGAGGAUUUACUGUCAAAGUUCACUUGAAGAAUAACAAAGUGACCAUGGAGACCCUCACAAAGUUCAUGCAGCUGCACUUUCCAAAAACAUACUUAAAAGAUCAGCACCUCAGCAUGCUAGAGUAUCAUGUACCAGUCACAGCAGGAGGAGUCGCAAACAUUUUUGAUCUGCUGGAAACCAACAAGACUGCUUUAAAUAUUACAAAUUUCUUAGUGAGUCAGACCACUCUGGAAGAGGUUUUCAUCAACUUUGCCAAAGACCAGAAGUCCUAUGAAACUGCUGAUACCAGCAGCCAAGGUUCCACUAUAAGUGUUGACUCACAAGAUGACCAGAUGGAGUCUUAACACUUCCAGCAAACUCAAUCUCAGCGUGUGACCAAUGGCUUCAUUUUGAAGAAAAGCCACAGAAGAUACACUUCCGCAAGAUAUCUUCAUUUUAAAGUAAAGUAAUAUACUGUAUGGAAAGUUACAACUGUGUUAGACUAACAAGUAAUUAUAAAAGGAAAUUUUUCCUUCUAAGGUCAGUGAGUGUUGUUGCUACUGAAAUGAAUUCCUGUAUACUCAACACUGUGAGCAUGCUAAUGUAUAUGCUGGUGAUUCUUAUGCAAAGGUGAAGCCACCUCAAGAUGAAUAUCUUAAUUUAUUACUUUCAAUAAAAAGACAGUUUAAAAGGCAUGGAUUUUGGUAGUUGAAAUAUAAGAGUGGAGAAGAAAAGUCAGAUGGUUUGUGGCAGGUGCCACCGGGCAAGCAGACAACAUAAUUUAUUUCCAGAAAACAACAGAAUGAACAUCAUCAUGAAUACAUGAAUCGGCUGUGAUGUGUGAACUGCUAAGGGCCAAAUGAACGUUUGCAGAGCAGUGGGCACAAUGUUUACAAUGUAUGUGUAUGUCACUUUCGGUACCUGUGAAUGCAUGGGGACGUGCUGAACCCGAAAAAAAGUGCCUUUCCAUAAGGACUGCAAUAGAGAGGGCAAUUUACCCUGGUGGUACACGGAACCUAGAUUCACUCCUGCCAUGCCUUGCCAAUAGUAAGCUGCAGGGUGGAACAAGAAAUCACUUGCUCUGGGGGGAAGGGAGGGGGGAAUGGGUGUGUCAGCUGGGUAGAUACAAACCCUGAAAAGAGAAUCCAUGUGCUACUGGCAGGCAACAUUUUUUAAAGCUCUUUCAGAAACCCUCAUAUUUGGGGUUUCUUUUCAGGAAACAUUCCUGUGGAGGGAAAACGAAUAUGAAGAUAAUUUUCAGCUAAUUAUCUGGGUGACCCAGAAUCGUGUAUAUGGCUAUAGGAUAGACUUCUUAAUAAUGGCAAGUGACGUGGCCCUGGGGAAAGGUGCUUUAUGUACCGUGUGUGCGUGUAUGUGUGUGUAUCUAUACAAGUUUGUCAGCUUUGGCAUGACUGUUUGUCUCGAAAACCAAUAAACUCAAAGUUUAGAAAAACUCA